AAUAUACCCUCAAUAUUUCUGGUGAAUUCUAAUAGAAAUAUUUGAUAAUUAUUUACUUGUACUGAUCUGUUUUAGAAACUAAAAUUAUUAAGUAUUUCCUACCAAUUUUCCUAAAUAAAGUUCCAGCUUAAUAAAUGACGGUUUAAAUAAAUUGAGUAAAUUUCGCGGCUAAAGUGAUCACGUGUGCAGCUCCGCAGGAAAAAAAAAUCUGCUUUCCUCAGCAGAGACGUCGACUAGCCAUACUCCUCACAACUCCUGUUUCGUAGCUUAAUCGAAGUCACCUGAAGGACGGCUUUCCUGAGUUUCCUCAGCAACGGCAAGACCCGCACUCCUCUCAUAUCGUGAAGUUUAACGAGUUUCGCGGCUCAAGCAAGAGGCACCUGUCACUGAAGGACUGCUUUUCUCAGCAACGACGUGAACAGCAUUACUCGAAUUUCCUGGUUCAGCUGAUCUACCCGUCUUCGUACACGCAGAGUUGGCAGAGGAGGUCAUAAAAAUCUACAUCCUUCGGGACAAUGAUGGGGCAGUCAGCGAUGUAGGAGUUGUGAUUGAGGGCAUCACUGUCCUCCGCAGUCUUGGGAAUCUCAGCAGAGCCUGCUGCUAUCUUUUGGGAGUCACGAUGCAUUGGAUUUGAGAUAUCCCAAGACCCACAAAUACAGGUCCUUCUCAAAAAAUUUGCUUAUUGUGAUAAAGUUCAUUAUUUUCCAUAAUGUAAUGAUAAAAAUU